rnacentral:rRNA from 1 species
GAUGAACGCUAGCUACAGGCUUAACACAUGCAAGUCGAGGGGAAACGCCAUUGAAGCUUGCUUCGAUGGUCGUCGACCGGCGCACGGGUGAGUAACGCGUAUCCAACCUGCCUCUGACCAAGGGAUAACCCGUCGAAAGUCGGCCUAAUACCUUAUGCAGUCGUCGGAAGUCAUCUGAUGACGACGAAAGAUUUCAUCGGUGAGAGAUGGGGAUGCGUCUGAUUAGCUUGUUGGCGGGGUAACGGCCCACCAAGGCAACGAUCAGUAGGGGUUCUGAGAGGAAGGUCCCCCACAUUGGAACUGAGACACGGUCCAAACUCCUACGGGAGGCAGCAGUGAGGAAGAUUGGUCAAUGGGCGAGAGCCUGAACCAGCCAAGUAGCGUGCAGGAUGACGGCCCUAUGGGUUGUAAACUGCUUUUAUGCGGGGAUAAAGUGAGGGACGUGUCCUUCAUUGCAGGUACCGCAUGAAUAAGGACCGGCUAAUUCCGUG